rnacentral:rRNA from 1 species
CCUACGGGGUGCAGCAGUGGGGAAUAUUGGGCAAUGGGCGCAAGCCUGACCCAGCAAUGCCGCGUGAAGGAAGAAGGCUUUCGGGUUGUAAACUUCUUUGACAGGGGAAGAGCAGAAGACGGUACCUGACGAAUAAGCCACGGCUAACUACGUGCCAGCAGCCGCGGUAAUACGUAGGUGGCAAGCGUUGUCCGGAUUUACUGGGUGUAAAGGGCGUGUAGCCGGGUUGACAAGUCAGAUGUGAAAUCCUGCGGCUUAACCGCAGAACUGCAUUUGAAACUGUUGAUCUUGAGUACUGGAGAGGCAGAUGGAAUUCCUAGUGUAGCGGUGAAAUGCGUAGAUAUUAGGAGGAACACCAGUGGCGAAGGCGGUCUGCUGGACAGCAACUGACGGUGAGGCGCGAAAGCGUGGGGAGCAAACAGGAUUAGAUACCCGAGUAGUC